GGCCCUCCGCUUAUAAAAAGAAAGAAAGGGAAUCUCUAGGUAAGUCUUUAAAAAUAUACAAUAGAGGUCACCAUCUUAUUCUUCUUCCUUCCUUUGUUUCUAAUUUUCAGCUGACUUGACCGUCAGAGGGCCCUCGCUAGACACUCUCUGACAAAUGGACUUGUUUACCGGUAUCAAUUGAAGUCCUCAUCUUGAAGACCGGUGUUUGUCCCUGUCCCUAAGUCGAUCACGAUCCAACUAGGAAUCAAGGGCAUCAUAUUGGCGCUAGAGGAAGAGCCCCACCCAUAAGCUU
rnacentral:lncRNA from 1 species